rnacentral:rRNA from 1 species
GAUGAACGCUGGCGGCGUGCCUAAAACAUGCAAGUCGAGCGGUAAGGCUCUGCACUUAGUGUUUGAUCGAAGUAAUUUAUUACUACAGUAGACCAAUUGGAACCUUGGCGGGUGAAGAGCGGAAUAGGAGAUCGAAUUAUAAGUGUAGAGUACACGAGCGGCGGACGGGUGAGUAACACGUGGGAAUCUACCCCAAACUGAGGGAUAAGCACCGGAAACGGUGCCUAAUACCGCAUAUGGUCUUCGGAUUAAAGCUUCGGCGGUUUGGGAAGAGCCCGCGUAAGAUUAGCUAGUUGGUGAGGUAAAGGCUCACCAAGGCGACGAUCUUUAGCUGGUUUGAGAGGAUGAUCGGCCACACUGGAACUGAGACACGGUCCAGACUCUACGGAGGCAGCAGUUAGGAAUUUUCCACAAUGGCGCAAGCCUGAUGGAGCAACGCCGCGUGCAGGAUGAA